GGAGUUGUAGCUCAGUGGUAGAGCGCUAGCCUAGCAAGGGUGGGGCACUGAGUUCAAUUCUCAGCACCA
rnacentral:tRNA from 1 species